GGGGAGAGCAGGGAAGGAGGGAGAAGUGGGGGGAUAAAGAGAAUUUUUUUUAUCUUUGCAACUCUUAAUCUCGCUACUUCCCCCUCCUCUCUUCUCUCGUCUCCCUCUCUCUCCUCUUUUCUCUACCGCUGUCUCUGAGCCUUCUUCUUCCCUUUUUCCUAAAGAAGUUGAUCCAGAAUUUCGAAAAGCCCUGGGCAGAGUUGUUGAAUGGGAUGUGCAAUUAGAGCGGGGAUUUUGUUGGGAGGCAAGAGGGUCCCCCAGGCUCCACAUAGUCCAGGUCGGCAGGCAAGGAAAGACGGCUGACCAGCCCAGCGGGCGCGGUUUGCACAUGGUUUGCACGUCGGGCCGCCUCUUUCUGCCUAUGUGAGCACUAAUAGUGGCAAGGAAGAAAGGAGAGAUGAGAUCAUGGGGCCCACCAAGCACCGACCUUGGCCCAGCGGGCCGUGGCGCCAGCCAGGGAUCCCGGAUUCCGAGAAUUCAGCUGCCUCUCUGAGGAGUGGUGGAGGAGCUGCGGGAGCCGAAAAGCCCAAGAGCCCUCUGGACCCAGAAAAGUCCCACAGAUGCCCACUCCUCACCACACAACAGAAGGAGCUCUGGUCCUGCCUGCCAGCCCCAGAGGGCACUCAAACUUUGGAGGCCAGCCACCCGGAUGAAGUGAAUAAGACUGAAAAUUGCUUGUUUGCUCGUAUUGUAAAAUAAUAAUA
rnacentral:lncRNA from 1 species